AGCUCCAAUAGCGUAUGUUAAAGUUGUUGCGGCUAAAAAGCUCGUAGUUGGAUUUCUAGAUGAGAGGAGUGGUCCACUCUAUGAGUGUGUAUCUACUUCCGCUCGUCUAUCCGCUCUGCAAACGUGUCUGCGCUUGACUGCGUGGCGCGGAGGUAGGGCCUUUUACUUUGAGGAAAUUAGAGUGUUCACGGCAGGCAAUCGCCUUGAAUAUAUUAGCAUGGAAUAAUAACAUAGGAUCUCGGUUCUAUUUUGUUGGUUUCUAGAGCUGAGAUAAUGAUUAAUAGGGACAAUUGGGGGCAUUCGUAUCGCGGUGUCAGAGGUGGAAUUCUUGGAUUACUGCGCGACGAACUACUGCGAAAGCAUUUGCCAAGGAUGUUUUCA
rnacentral:rRNA from 1 species